rnacentral:rRNA from 1 species
CAGCAGCCACGGGAAUACGUAGGGUGCGAGCGUUAAUCGGAAUUACUGGGCGUAAAGCGUGCGCAGGCGGUUAUAUAAGACAGAUGUGAAACCCCCGGGCUUAACCUGGGACCUGCAUUUGUGACUGUAUAGCUAGAGUACGGUAGAGGGGGAUGGAAUUCCGCAUGUAGCAGUGAAAUGCGUAGAUAUGCGGAGGAACACCGAUGGCGAAGGCAAUCCCCUGGACCUGUUCUGACGCUCACGCACGAAAGCGUGGGGAGCAAACAGGAUUAGAUACCCCAGUAGUCCCUGUCUCUUAUAC